rfam:Hordeum vulgare subsp. vulgare, WGS project CAJW01000000 data, contig: morex_contig_135042
CUUAUACUUCCUACGUCCGAAAAUUCUUGUCUUAAAUUUGUCUAAAAACGAAUGUAUCUAAAUACUAAACCGUAGCUAGAUACAUUCAUAUUUAGAUAAAUGUAAGACAAGAAUUUUGAGACAGAUGGAGUAAUAA